GCCAUAUCACGUUGAAAUACCGGUUCCUUUACGAACACCGAAGUCAAAUAACGUCGAGUCCAGUGAGUACCUAGAUGGAUAACCGCUUGGGAAUACCAGGUGCUGUAAG